UACGUAGGGACCAAGCGUUGUUCGGAUUUACUGGGCGUAAAGGGCGCGUAGGCGGCCCAUCAAGUUGGAUGUGAAAUCCCACGGCUCAACCGUGGAACGGCGUCCAAAACUGAUCGGCUAGAGGGCAGCAGAGGGAGGCGGAAUUCCCGGUGGAGCGGUGAAAUGCGUAGAUAUCGGGAGGAACACCGGUGGCGAAGGCGGCCUCCUGGGUUGUACCUGACGCUGAGGCGCGAAAGCGUGGGUAGCAAACCGG
rnacentral:rRNA from 1 species